GGAUGUGAGGGCAAUCUGGCUGUGACAUCUGUCACCCCAUUGAUCGCCAGGGUUGAUUCGGCUGAUCUGGCUGGCUAGGCGGGUGUCCCCUUCUUCCCUCACUGUUCCAUGUGCGUCCCUCCCGAAGCUGCGCGCUCGGUCGAAGAGGACGACCUUCCCCGAAUAGAGGAGGACCGGUCUUCGGUCAAGGGUAUACGAGUAGCUGCGCUCCCCUGCUAGAACCUCCAAACAAGCUCUAAAUGUUAAAAUGACAACAGGAGACUGAAGAGAUCACAUGGGAAGCCCCAUGGUG
rnacentral:snRNA from 1 species